GUUUGUACAUUAGUGCAUUUCGUGCUCGUUUCCUCUCGAACGGACCAUUUCGGUUCGUUUCACUUGUUUCUUGGAGUCUUUUUCUUGAUUGCAGGUAUCCGUUGGAUAGAGGGUUCGAAUACGAAGCCGAUGGUACCUUCCGGAGCGAAAUUGGAGUCCGAAUGGAGAAAUUAUGGCCGAAGGAAGUCGAUCAAGGCUGCUGUUGACCAGUCAAUGACGUGUCACGGCCGUGAUGGGUAACCUGUCACGGCCGUGAUGCCUAGUCUGGGCAGCAACAUUAUUUCUGCCCCCAGACGCGAUUUCAGAGGGGGAGGAGAAAAAAAUGACGAACUAAACACAAAAUUGACGAAGGGGAAAGUGCUUGGGAGCCUAGGAACACCAUGGGAAUGAAGAUUUGAAGCCGGAUAGUCGAGGAAUCGAAGCCCAACGGANNN
rnacentral:lncRNA from 1 species